rnacentral:tRNA from 1 species
ACGGUUAUGUCAGAAUUAUAUGAGUUAGCUUUAAGCGUUAAUUAUGGGUUUAAACCCUAAUCGUU